rnacentral:rRNA from 1 species
UUGCUUUUACAAGGCGAAACCGCGAAUGGCUCAUUAAAUCAGUUAUGGUUCACUAGAUCGUAAAUUUUACACGGAUAACUGUGGUAAUUCUAGAGCUAAUACGUGCAACCAGCUCGCUUCCUUGUGGAGCGAGCGCAGUUAUUAGAACAAGACCAAUCCGGCCUUCGGGUCGGUACAAUUGGUGACUCUGAAUAACCGAAGCGGAGCGCAUGGUCUCGUACCGGCGCCAGAUCUUUCAAGUGUCUGACUUAUCAGCUUGUUGUUAGGUUAUGUUCCUAACAAGGCUUCAACGGGUAACGGGGUAUCAGGGUCCGAUACCGGAGAGGGAGCCUGAGAAACGGCUACCACAUCCAAGGAAGGCAGCAGGCGCGCAAAUUACCCACUCCUAGCACAGGGAGGUAGUGACGAAAAAUAACGAUGCGGGGUCUUAUAGAUUCCCGUAAUCGGAAUGGGUACACUUUAAAUCCUUUAACGAGGAUCUAUUGGAGGGCAAGUCUGGUGCCAGCAGCCGCGGUAAUUCCAGCUCCAAUAGCGUAUAUUAAAGUUGCUGCGGUUAAAAAGCUCGUAGUUGGAUCUGGGCUUCUGAAUGGAUGGUGCGCUUUUCGGUGCUACUGUCCGUUUGGUGCCACAAGCCGGCCAUGUAGUGCAUGCCCUUCAUUGGGUGUGCAUUGCGACCGGAACGUUUACUUUGAAAAAAUUA